GGUGCGGGGUGAGGGGCGACGACGAGUUCUUUCUUAUUCAUCUUUCGUUUUUCUCCGGAACAUCUCUUCCUACCUUAUAUACCAUGCACCUAGGCCCCCUUUUCAAGUCUUGUGGUUCUACAAGUGAUACGUGAGAAGUACUUUGUAGUUAAUUUUACUGCUAAGGAUGCCGACAGCUGCCCCCUUCUGGUCUUGUUGUUGAUGUUGAAAAUAGUGCGAGUAUUUCGAAAUAAAAUACACAAGGAACGAACCAUACAUUGUGACCCUGCCCGUCACAGCCGGAAAGAUCUUGGACUUGGCCGUGACAUAUCAACUCAAGUUGUUCCUGUCCAUUUUCUUUACUGCUGGUCUCUUUGCGUCUCGCGUUCGCGUCUGAAUACCAUAUCUCGCUGUUGCUUUACAGUGGAGAGCGCGCAACCAUGGACUUAAUCCUCAUUAUGCUGUUGUUGGCUUAGUUUAACCUUUCGGUUCCAUUGGACCUACCUCCGAAGAAUUCUCCUCCAUGCCGUGCACUUCUCCGAAAUAGAGAACUCUCAAUCCAACGACGGGCGACGAGCAGCACCUAUUAUAGCAUCUUGAUGAUGAUCAUAACUAGGGACGAUCCUCUUCUUCGAGGCCAUUAAUAAGGUUACUAUCAUCAACAAUGAUGACAAGCUCCUCAAUAAUCGUAAACAAGUCAUGUGUAUGAGUAGCGAAGACGGCCGAGCAAACAGAGGACACAACCGGAAGUCCGUAUUCUGCAUGUUUAUAGCCCUCCUGUUAAGUAUCAAUUACUAUAGACUAUCCUUUUUGCUCUCUGC
rnacentral:sRNA from 1 species